AAAAUUUUUUGUUCUUGUUUUGUUGUGUGCCCUCUGGCUUUUAAAUGUGGAACUUGGGAAACUGACAGUUUAAAACGUAUCUGGUCGAUCUGAUUGGUGUGAAGUAAAGUAAAGGGAUUGAAGCGGUUUAAUUUUUGUUGGUUGUAUGAAGAAUUAAAAUAAAUUAUUUUCAUAAUAUAAUGCUGAUGUUAUUUAUUUUGGCUGUCGUUGUGGCAAUUGAUAUAAGUGUGAAUUGCCUUUUAGAGUAGUAUUAUUCCCGGUAGGUGGUUUCUUUUUCAUACAAGGCCGAGAAAUUUCAAAACGCAUUUUUAAUUUAGCUUAAUUUAGAGGGCGUAGACGCUAGACCGCCUAGACGAUCAAAAACAAAAUCGUGAUUGUUAAUUGAAGAAUAAAUAUCAGUUAAAUAAAUUAUUUUGUAAUUUAGAAUUAAAUAAUAAUAUAAAAAUUGCAAAAUCUCGUAGACCACUAAAUUUAACGUUCGAUCGGACUACGUUUGUUUUCGUUGGUGUUACGUUUUUAAAGAAAAGUUUUGUAUCUUGGGUGGUCUGUUUUUGUAAAUGACUAAGUGUGCUCUGAUCUGUUGUUAGUCAUGGACCGAUCAAGUAAACGUCCUGCUGCUUGCUCAUCUUCGUGGGCCCAGAAGAAAAAGCACAGUAGAGAUACGCCUGUUUCGGAAUUUAAAGAAGUAAAUUUUAGUCAGAUAACAGAGUCGAUGAAAGAGUGGGACAUUUUGUUUUUGUGUUGUGACACUCUGUUGAAAGAUUCUCCUGACGGGAGGUACAGAAUUCUUAUUGUUUGUUGUAUGGACGUAUCAUGUUCUUUUUUCAAGUUGACGGCCAUGGGGAGCAAAGGGGAAGAGUAUUUCGGUUUGUUAGAGAUUGGGAAAAGCUACAUGUUGAAAAAUGGUGUGGUUGUUAGGAAAGGUGGUCGUGAGUCAAGUUAUUCGUGGAUGAUUGAAAAUCAAUUUUAUUUGAAAACUGAUGCUCAUUCAAGUUUUGAAUUUUUUCUAGAUCACUUUGAAUUCCAAAGGAGGUGUACCUGACAUGGUGUAUAAGUUUGUGCCGUUGGAAAGCAUUGCAUCAAUCAAUGAUGGUCAAGUAAUAGAUACAUUUGGAUAUGUUUGUGAUAUUGGUGGCAUGACUACCAGCGUUGUUCAUGAAUCGUUUUGUGAUAACAUGUUGGUGAAAAUGACUAUUGGCUGUACCAAUGAAACCCGAAUAUUCGUCUUAUAAUGUUUCAUUUGUGAUUGUUUAUCUUUAUGAUAUGUUUGAUUAGUUGCUUAUUUCAGGCAUGGGUUUCCGUCGUGGACAUUGUUUUGGGCGAUCUGGAAUUCAGGAAGAUUCAAUUGUGGCUAUCAAAGGGGUGAAGAUUGAAAGGCGAGUGGAAGGAACCCAAGAUUGGAUUGGUCCUCUUUUUGAUGAUUCCUCAUUUGUGGUGAAAGAGUUGUUACCGGAAGCUCAUGCUAUUUGGAUGAUGAAGGAAGGUGAUAGUAGUGAGCAAGUUGGUGAGUGUAAUGCUGGUAAGUAACGUCUAAAGUGGAGGAAGGUAGUGGUGAGAAAGAGUUGCCAUUAGUUUUGUAGGUUGUUGAAGGAGCCGAUGAAGUCUGUGUGAAGGAUGGCGAUAAGGAUAAACAAGUUAUUUUAGGUGGUAGUUGUGGAGUGGUGUCUCUUUCUGUUGUCGACAGAAACGAAAGUAGUUCAGAGGAUCGCGUUUUAUGUCCAGUUUCUGGAAAGAAAAUGGAUGUUCCAAAAUGAGUUGUGUGAGCUCAUGUACGGAAUUUGAAAAUUAAUGUUUCAAUGAAAAAGACGGUGUAACGCAUGUUCAACAUGUGUUAAGGAAUAUAGAAAUGUUUGUGUUUGUUGGACUGUGCUAUUUCAACUGAA
rnacentral:lncRNA from 1 species